rnacentral:rRNA from 1 species
UACGUAGGGAGCAAGCGUUGUCCGGAAUCAUUGGGCGUAAAGCGCGCGUAGGUGGCCCGAUAAGUCCGCUCUGAAAGUCACAGGCUCAACCUGUGAAAGCGCGUGGAUACUGUCGGGCUAGAGUCCGGAAGAGGCGAGUGGAAUUCCUGGUGUAGCGGUGGAAUGCGCAGAUAUCAGGAGGAACACCAACGGCGAAGGCAGCUCGCUGGGACGGUACUGACACUGGAGGCGCGAAAGCGUGGGGAGC